rnacentral:rRNA from 1 species
UGGGGAAUAUUGGACAAUGGGGGAAACCCUGAUCCAGCCAUGCCGCGUGUGUGAAGAAGGACCUCGGGUUGUAAAGCACUUUCAGCGAGGAAGAACGCCUAACGGUUAAUACCCGCUAGGAAAGACAUCACUCGCAGAAGAAGCACCGGCUAACUCCGUGCCAGCAGCCGCGGUAAUACGGAGGGUGCAAGCGUUAAUCGGAAUUACUGGGCGUAAAGCGCGCGUAGGUGGCUUGAUAAGCCGGUUGUGAAAGCCCCGGGCUCAACCUGGGAACGGCAUCCGGAACUGUCAAGCUAGAGUGCAGGAGAGGAAGGUAGAAUUCCCGGUGUAGCGGUGAAAUGCGUAGAGAUCGGGAGGAAUACCAGUGGCGAAGGCGGCCUUCUGGACUGACACUGACACUGAGGUGCGAAAGUGUGGGUAGCAAACAGGAUUAGAUACCCCAGUAGUCCCUGAGCGGGCUGGCAAGGCGCAU